AAGGAAAAUAAUGACCUCACACAGGUCAUUAUUUUAUGCCUUGGAGCAUAUAUCAUUGAAAGAUGGUAUCGUCCGGGUUGAUUCUGAAAAAGAAUGACCUGUCGUUCUGAAAGAAAAUUACUCCAUAUAGGUAUAUAUAACAUAUUUCCAUUCAGAAAUGAUAAGAAUUUUAAGUUUAUACACCCACAUCGAAACACAUCCCCCUCUGCAAUAUUGGUUUUGCAAUACAAGGCUAUGUUUUAAUAUGAUGCAAAGAUAUGGUUGGUAGUGUCAUCGACUCAUCGGAUACAGUUUUCAAUCAAGGUAGCCUACUGAAAAUUGUGUCUAGAUUUAAAUUAAUUUGUGAAAAAGAUUACAAAAAUAAAAAAAAAUGUUUAAAAUUGACUAUAAAGGGCAAUAACUCCAUAAGGGCUCAAUGGACAAUUGCUUAUUGUGAAUGUGUGAUGAUUCAAGUUUCUUCAAAUAUGCACGGUUGAAGUGCUAAAACCAGAUUUUACGCCAAACAAUUAUUUAUUUACAAAAGUUCAG
rnacentral:lncRNA from 1 species